rnacentral:tRNA from 1 species
UCCCUGGUGGCCUAGUGGUUAGGAUUCAGUGCUUUUGCUGCUGUGGUCCAGGUUCAAUCCCUGGUCUGGGAA